rnacentral:rRNA from 1 species
AUUGAACGCUGGCGGCAUGCCUUACACAUGCAAGUCGAACGGCAGCACGGGAGCAAUCCUGGUGGCGAGUGGCGAACGGGUGAGUAAUAUAUCGGAACGUGCCCAGUCGUGGGGAUAACGUAGCGAAAGCUACGCUAAUACCGCAUACGAUCUAUGGAUGAAAGCGGGGGAUCGCAAGACCUCGCGCGAUUGGAGCGGCCGAUAUCAGAUUAGGUAGUUGGUGAGGUAAAGGCUCGCCAAGCCGACGAUCUGUAGCUGGUCUGAGAGGACGACCAGCCACACUGGGACUGAGACACGGCCCAGACUCCUACGGGAGGCAGCAGUGGGGAAUUUUUGGGACAAUGGGCGCAAGCCUGAUCCAGCAAUGCCGCGUGCAGGAUGAAGGCCUCGGUUGG